UUCUAUGGCAGUUGUGUGCAGGAGACCUGCGGGUCUGCCGGUCGCUCCUUGCCGGUUCGCCAACGCCACCCUU
rnacentral:misc_RNA from 1 species